GGGGGAACUGAAACAUCUAAGUACCCCGAGGAAAAGAAAUCAACCGAGAUUCCGAAAGUAGCGGCGAGCGAAAUUGGACUAGCCCUUAAGCUUUACACGCGUUAGACGAACAGCCUGGAAAGGCCGACGAUACAGGGUGAUAGUCCCGUAGUUGACGACGUGUGUUCAGUGAAAUCGAGUAGGGCGGGACACGUGAUAUCCUGUCUGAAUAUGGGGGGACCAUCC
rnacentral:rRNA from 1 species